UGUUGGAGGUUUUUGACCGCGUCUGUCAGAACGGUUAUUUGCCGCACGAUCAUCGCGAUUUACGCCUCCGUAGUUACCACCGGAUGCGGAGAGUUAGGCUCCGCCAUGGAUGGUGAAGGAGAGGCCUCUUCCCGACGGGAGGAGCGCCUCGCCGACCCGAUAGCUCUCGAUUGCUGAGCUCUGAUUUUCAUCAUUUCGAGAGAUUUUUUAAGCCCCGUGGAGUUCGCUGGCUUACCUCUGUCGAGUACCCCUACCUGGCGCACCAAAUCUGUUGCAGUCAAUCCUCCCAUCGCCCGAUCGCCGGUGUCGCGCACCUGCAAGAAAAGUCCUCACAGACCGGAGAUGCCUCCGGCGGAGACCCUCUGACGGUCAAGUCAGAGAGGAGACUAGACAACAGUGAAAAAUCAGGGGCUCAGCGGGA
rnacentral:lncRNA from 1 species